rnacentral:rRNA from 1 species
UACGUAGGGGGCGAGCGUUGUCCGGAUUCAUUGGGCGUAAAGAGCUCGUAGGCGGUUCGGUAAGUCGGGUGUGGAAUCUCCGUGCUCAACACGGAGCGGCCACCUGAUACUGCCGUGACUCGAGUCCGGUAGGGGAGUGUGGAAUUCCCGGUGUAGCGGUGAAAUGCGCAGAUAUAGGAAGGAAUACCAGUGGCGAAGGCGGCCUCCUGGAUCGAUACUGACGCUGAGGCGCGAAAGCGUGGGGAGCAAACAGG